rnacentral:rRNA from 1 species
AUUGAACGCUGGCGGCAGGCCUAACACAUGCAAGUCGAACGGUAGCACAGAGAGCUUGCUCUCGGGUGACGAGUGGCGGACGGGUGAGUAAUGUCUGGGAAACUGCCUGAUGGAGGGGGAUAACUACUGGAAACGGUAGCUAAUACCGCAUAACGUCGCAAGACCAAAGAGGGGGACCUUACGGGCCUCCUUGCCAUCUAGAUGUGCCCAGAUGGGAUUAGCG